GCCCCAGUAGCUCAACGGAUAGAGCGCCGGACUUCUAAUCCGUAGGUUGGGGGUUCGAUUCCCUCCUGGGGUA
rnacentral:tRNA from 1 species